rnacentral:tRNA from 1 species
GGAGGUUCGAGUCAGUGUGGUGUAGUGGUUAAGAGUGGUAGACUUGUAAUCUGGUGAACCGGGUUCGAUUCCCCGCUCCUCCA